AAAUUGAAGAGUUUGAUCAUGGCUCAGAUUGAACGCUGGCGGCAGGCCUAACACAUGCAAGUCGAACGGUAACAGGAAGAAGCUUGCUUCUUUGCUGACGAGUGGCGGACGGGUGAGUAAUGUCUGGGAAACUGCCUGAUGGAGGGGAUAACUACUGGAAACGGUAGCUAAUACCGCAUAACGUCGCAAGACCAAAGAGGGGGACCUUCGGGCCUCUUGCCAUCGGAUGUGCCCAGAUGGGAUUAGCUUGUUGGUGGGGUAACGGCUCACCAAGGCGACGAUCCCUAGCUGGUCUGAGAGGAUGACCAGCCACACUGGAACUGAGACACGGUCCAGACUCCUACGGGAGGCAGCAGUGGGGAAUAUUGCACAAUGGGCG
rnacentral:rRNA from 1 species